CCCAGUAGACGACUUUUUAACUCCAAGGAGAAACAAACAGAAGAAAUCCUGUGUGUAAUGCAUCCUAACUGCUAUCAAGAAAAUCUAACGGUGAAAUUAUCAGUAUGUCCCUUCUUUGUUGCUAGUCAGUGUCAUGAUAUAGAAGCACAUGAGGCAGUGUGUGUCGAGGCAAGGCAUAUAUUCUCGUGAGUGGUCUUGCAUGAGCAGAAGUUUAAAUUUUUAUAUCCUGCUUAGAAUAGUAUUAUUUUCUUAUUGGACUUGACUUAGGCAGUUUUAGGUUACUUUAUAUUUUAUAUUUUAGACUCCAGUUUUCGUAUGCUUUUUGGGUUUUUCUGCCAGAUUGUGAAUGACUUUUCUGUAGAGGUUAAGUUGUGUUAGUUAGAGUGGGUUUUGGAAUUAUUAGAUUUAAAGAGUUUAUGAGUAACCUGUGUUCUUCAGGAAACAUAUCAAUUGAUUACUAUAAUUGAUUACCAAGUCUCUGGUGUUUUACUUCUGUCUCCACAAUAAUCCUUUUGUGUUUUCAGUCUUGAUAUUAUUUUAUUGGUUUAAGCUUGUCCUCCCACCAAAUGGCUUGAAUCGCCAUUAUCUAAUGUAACCCAUAUUUCAAAGCAAAUACUACGGUUUGUUUGCCCCUUUUUUUGAUAUUUUAUUUUUAGGUUUUAAAAUCCUUGUGCUUUGUGAUGUAGGCAUUUAGGAGAAGGGGGUGUGUGCUUGACCAACAAUCCAACUUAAUUAUUAGAUGCUAUAAAAUGUAAAAGAACAUGAAAAGAAUAGACAAUAAAAGGUUAGGAUUGAAGCUACCAUUGUAUCACUUAUUUUCAUCAAUGGUAAAGUUAAGCCAUUUAAAUAGCCUUUUCCUCUCGAAGCAUUAUACACGUAAGAUUCAAAAAAGUUAGUUUCCUUGUCAUUCUGCAAUGCAAGAAAGAGUACUAUUGGUUUGCAGUAUGAUAGAAAGGUUGGGAAAAGUGGCCUAUUUUUAUGGUUGGAUUUUUCUGAAUUUGAAACAUGGGUUGAUCUUCCUCACUGUCUUAUUCUAUUUUCUGGUUUUCUUGUUAUUCUUAUCAUCACACGUUAAUUCAUAACUGCAUAAUAGAGAACUCUGAUAUAGGAUCAGAAAGGAAAAAGGUAAAAACUCGUAAAGGUUUUAUGAAAUGUCACUCAACUAUUUCCUGUUUGGUUUUAUGUACAUUUAUUAAAAUGCUUUGUAAAUUGAAUUGGCCUUCUAAACGUGAAAUGGACUUGUGUCUAUGAAAAUGUACUGUCAACUCCGUUCAUUGUGGACCCUUAUGAGUGAAGUCAAAGGGGACUGUAGAACAAUGCUUAUGAUCAUGUAGGUUGGUUAUUUUGGCUUUACUGGUCAAUGUUUCCUGCAGUCCAUAAUGUUCUUUAUGUCCAUGAUUGGAUAUCAGUUCUUUUCCUUGGCAGAAUAAUUUUUUUCCCCAUUAAUCUCCUCGAGUGACUAGCUACUUGAAUGCCUUCAUGUUACUUCUAAAUUCAGGAUGAAAGGGAGAUUAAAAGACAGAGAAGAAAGCAAUCAAACCGGGAAUCUGCUCGCCGAUCCAGACUGCGCAAGCAGGCAGAAUGCGACGAGCUGGCCCAGCAUGCUGUAGCUUUAAAAGAAGAAAACUCGUCUCUUAGAGCAGAAGUGGCUCGUAUACGGAGCGAGUAUGAGCAACUUUGUGCCCAGAAUGCAUCUCUGAAGGAGAAACUUGGUGAAAGUUCCAGUCAGGAUGAUCCGAGGUGCAGUCAGGAUUCCGGCCAAGCAGAUAACGAGCAAAGUGGGCAAUGAGUUUUGAGAAUGAGUGGCUUAACCUAACCAGUAGUGAUAUGAACUCCAAAAUUUAGGUAUUGUGUAGUUGAAAAUUCUGUCAAAACUUACGAUUCUAGUCCCAAUAUUUGUUUGUCAAUUAUUGCCCAUUAUUUGCCAUUUGACCAACGUUUUAUGGUUGAGGAAUCCAGAUAUAAUGUAGAGCUGGUAAUUUGUGAUUUUACCCUCGUUCAGAAAAAAAGGGUAUUGCGUUCAUCCAUGUUA